rnacentral:lncRNA from 1 species
GUUCUAAAGUUUUCCUCUUGCUAUAUAAUGUUUUAUGAGAAGAUUGGAGGCUACCUUGAAUACAGUAUUCUUCUGUUUAUCUUUUAUAAUUUAAGUGUGACAAACAGUUUGAAGAGUACCAAAUAAAGGAUUUUAGGAAUUUGUUCCUAUGUCCUUAAUGAGCAUGGAAUAGUUUUCAAAUAAACUAAUUCAUUAAAAAUUUUUGAUGAGUGAGCAGUUAUGCAGACCCAUGAUCAAGGUCCCUAUGAGUUAUACCUUCAGUUUAUUCUAAUUACCCCCAGCUAAGUCUAGUAAUGAAAAUUAUUGGUAAAUUGGUAAAUAUGCAGUUGAAUUUUAAAGAUAGAUAUU